GGGUUGUGAGGUUAAGCGACUAAGCGUACACGGUGGAUGCCCUGGCAGUCAGAGGCGAUGAAGGGCGUGCUAAUCUGCGAUAAGCGCCGGUAAGGUGAUAUGAACCGUUAUAACCGGCGAUACCCGAAUGGGGAAACCCAGUGUGACUCGUCACACUAUCAUUAACUGAAUCCAUAGGUUAAUGAGGCGAACCGGGGGAACUGAAACAUCUAAGUACCCCGAGGAAAAGAAAUCAACCGAGAUUCCCCCAGUAGCGGCGAGCGAACGGGGAGGAGCCCAGAGCCUGAAUCAGCAUGUGUGUUAGUGGAAGCGUCUGGAAAGGCGCGCGAUACAGGGUGACAGCCCCGUACACAAAAGCGCAUGUGCUGUGAGCUCGAUGAGUAGGGCGGGACACGUGGUAUCCUGUCUGAAUAUGGGGGGACCAUCCUCCAAGGCUAAAUACUCCUGACUGACCGAUAGUGAACCAGUACCGUGAGGGAAAGGCGAAAAGAACCCCGGCGAGGGGAGUGAAAAAGAACCUGAAACCGUGUACGUACAAGCAGUGGGAGCACCCUUUGGGGUGUGACUGCGUACCUUUUGUAUAAUGGGUCAGCGACUUAUAUUCUGUAGCAAGGUUAACCGAAUAGGGGAGCCGGAGGGAAACCGAGUCUUAAUUGGGCGUUAAGUUGCAGGGUAUAGACCCGAAACCCGGUGAUCUAGCCAUGGGCAGGUUGAAGGUUGGGUAACACUAACUGGAGGACCGAACCGACUAAUGUUGAAAAAUUAGCGGAUGACCUGUGGCUGGGGGUGAAAGGCCAAUCAAACCGGGAGAUAGCUGGUUCUCCCCGAAAGCUAUUUAGGUAGCGCCUCGUGAAUUCAUCUCCGGGGGUAGAGCACUGUUUCGGCUAGGGGGCCAUCCCGGCUUACCAACCCGAUGCAAACUGCGAAUACCGGAGAAUGUUAUCACGGGAGACACACGGCGGGUGCUAACGUCCGUCGUGAAGAGGGAAACAACCCAGACCGCCAGCUAAGGUCCCAAAGUCAUGGUUAAGUGGGAAACGAUGUGGGAAGGCCCAGACAGCCAGGAUGUUGGCUUAGAAGCAGCCAUCAUUUAAAGAAAGCGUAAUAGCUCACUGGUCGAGUCGGCCUGCGCGGAAGAUGUAACGGGGCUAAACCAU
rnacentral:rRNA from 2 species